rnacentral:pre_miRNA from 1 species
AACACACUGCCUCCGUCACAUAUUAAGUGAAAAAAUAUCACAUGUAUCUAGACGCUUUUUGGGUAUAGAUACAUCCAUAUUUGGGAAAAUUUGAGUCACUUAAUAUGGGACGGAGGGAGUGUAAU